GGAGAAAGGAAUGGAGAUCAGGAGAACGGGGUCAUCACUAAAUCAUGAUUGCACCAGGGAGAGGUAGCCAGGAAUGUCUGCGUCUUCAAAAAAAGAUCAAUAUAAAGCAGAAGAUUGCAGUGGAAAUGAAAGGCUCUGAAUGAUCCCAAUAAAAUAGUUAUGAUGAAAUCAACAGUGUAAAAUUGCAAGUCGUCAAUGGUCUGCCUACAAAAAUUAAAGAUAAAGUGAACAUUAUGAUUGCACGAAACCUAUGGGGUUUGUCUUUGGACAAAGUUUAUAUUUUCUAGUUCCAUAGAAUCCACCAAAGGAAUACAG
rnacentral:misc_RNA from 1 species